UAGACCAGUGAGACAAACAAGAUUUGGGGCAGAACUGGAGUCUUCCCGGACAACCUGAGAAGACCCAAAGAAAGACCCCAGGAUGGAGCUUUAACCCAGUCACCUGAUGAUAUCUGGAGAGCUGAAAGAAAUGAUUUCUACUAUUCUUCCAUUUCCAUGGGGGUCUUUGUGUUACACAGUGACACAAUGGUGUAACACAAGAAGGGGAUGACUUGAUUUACUCAUUUAACAGGACUCCCAUCAGAAAGAGGCCCACAGAGCUAUGCAUCAGACUAAAACCAUUAGAGAAAACAGAACACAUUGACCAGACUCCUACUGAGUUGGCCUUAACAACAAGCUGCACUGAAGAUUUCCAAGUAUGAUGAUCAAGGAAACCCAGUGACACGAGGGGUCACAGAGGCCAAAUCUACAUUCCUCCUGCAAAGCUAAAGGGAAAUUACCUUGGGGAUGGCAUAUGGCCCAGCCUACCUAAUUAUCUGGGAGGAAUUUCUAUCCAAUAUCUCCUAAUCACCAUCCAUGCUAAUCACAACAAAUUGAAAUUUAUCAGCCUCCAACACCCAGAGGCUGCUGGGCAUGUUAACAAAAACCAGGACUAAAAACAAUAUGUUCAACAAAAUAAAAAUAUGGCCUGAAACCCCUUUGCAAUAA